rnacentral:misc_RNA from 1 species
GUAAGGGUCUAUCUUUGCUGGACGGGCCUAGCCCGCCGCACGUAUAGCCCCGAGCGCGGAGCGGGCCGGCACAACCAACCCCGCGAAGCUGUCUUUAUUAUUGCUCACAAUUAUACGAAGCCGGGCGAGUCUGCGUCUCGCCGAGAGCGGUUCUUCCUUUUGGGCGGGCCUCUCUCGAACCAAAGCGCACCCCACUUUUCAAACCCCAAGCGUAAACUCUGAAUCUGAACCUUAAAGGUGGCCGCCCGCCCCACGAAGGCGGGCCCUCCUCCAACCAUUAAACGUUGUAAAACUUUCAGCGACGGAUGUCUUGGCUCCCCCAACGAUGAAGAACGCAGCGAAAUGCGAUACGUCUUGCGACUUGCAGAAUCCAGUGAAUCAUCAAAACUUUGAACGCACCUUGCGCUUCCGGGAUAUUCCUGGGAGCAUGCUUGUCGGAGUGUCUGUUAACUCCACUCGCCCCCCCCCCGUNUUCUUNUUNUUNUUNUUCGAAGAGGGAGAAGGGGGAGGGGGGGGGGCGGACUAUGCGUGUUCCGGAGCCUCUCACCGAGAAGCUCCGAGUGCACCGAAGAACCUGGAACUCGCAAAGAGAAGAAGCCUCUCACUCUUUUCGCUCGACGAGCCGAACUAAGGGAGAGAGUUGUUGACGGUUGUUACGACUCGCUCCUCCGGCGCGACAGAGCUUUAGCUUGUGUGCAGGUCUCUUCUCCUCGCAAAAACCACGGCCGAU